rnacentral:rRNA from 1 species
UACGGAGGGUGCAAGCGUUAUCCGGAUUCACUGGGUUUAAAGGGUGCGUAGGCGGGCAGGUAAGUCAGUGGUGAAAUCUCCGGGCUUAACCCGGAAACUGCCGUUGAUACUAUCUGUCUUGAAUAUCGUGGAGGUAAGCGGAAUAUGUCAUGUAGCAGUGAAAUGCUUAGAUAUGACAUAGAACACCCAUUGCGAAGGCAGCUUACUACACGAUCAUUGACGCUGAGGCACGAAAGCGUGGGGAGCAAACAGG